rnacentral:tRNA from 1 species
GGUCCUGUAGCCUAUUGAAUAAGGUGUCGGUCUCCUAAACCGAACAAUCAAGGUUCGUUACCCUUUUGGGUCG